rnacentral:rRNA from 1 species
GACGGAGGGUGCUAGCGUUGUUCGGAAUUACUGGGCGUAAAGUGUGCGCAGGCGGCAGAGCAAGUCGAGUGUGAAAGCCCCGGGCUUAACUUGGGAAUUGCGCUCGAAACUACUUUGCUGGAGUGUGGCAGAGGAAGGUGGAAUUCCACGUGUAGCGGUGAAAUGCGUAGAGAUGUGGAGGAACACCAAUGGCGAAGGCAGCCUUCUGGGCCAACACUGACGCUCAUGCACGAAAGCGUGGGGAGCAAACAGG